rnacentral:rRNA from 1 species
GAUGAACGCUAGCUACAGGCUUAACACAUGCAAGUCGCGGGGCAGCAUGGGGGUUGCUUGCAAUCCCCGAUGGCGACCGGCGCACGGGUGAGUAACGCGUAUCCAACCUGCCCUUCACCACGGGAUAACGCGGCGAAAGUCGGAGUAAUACCGUAUGUUGUCCAUUGACGGCAUCCGAUUUGGACGAAAGGCUUGGCGGUGAGGGAUGGGGAUGCGUCCGAUUAGGUGGAAGGCGGGGUAACGGCCCACCGUGGCUACGGUCGGUAGGGGUUCUGAGAGGAAGGUCCCCUACACUGGAACUGAGACACGGUCCAGACUCCUACGGGAGGCAGCAGUGAGGAAUAUUGGUCAAUGGGCGUAAGCCUGAACCAGCCAAGUAGCGUGCAGGAUGACGGCCCUAUGGGUUGUAAACUGCUUUUAUGCGGGGAUAAAGUGGCCCACGUGUGGGCUUUUGCAGGUACCGCAUGAAUAAGGACCGGCUAAUUCCGUG